CUGGAUAUGUCCCAUCACCGCAUGGUGUGUGGGUGGAAAGAUUUUUCGGUUGGGGAUGGGCUCGCGGCCUAUCAGCUUGUUGGUGAGGUAAUGGCUCACCAAGGCGUCGACGGGUAGCCGGCCUGAGAGGGUGACCGGCCACACUGGGACUGAGACACGGCCCAGACUCCUACGGGAGGCAGCAGUGGGGAAUAUUGCACAAUGGGCGGAAGCCUGAUGCAGCAACGCCGCGUGAGGGAUGACGGCCUUCGGGUUGUAAACCUCUUUUAGCAGGGAAGAAGCGAGAGUGACGGUACCUGCAGAAAAAGCGCCGGCUAACUACGUGCCAGCAGCCGCGGUAAUACGUAGGGCGCAAGCGUUAUCCGGAAUUAUUGGGCGUAAAGAGCUCGUAGGCGGUUUGUCGCGUCUGCUGUGAAAUCCCGAGGCUCAACCUCGGGCUUGCAGUGGGUACGGGCAGACUAGAGUGCGGUAGGGGAGAUUGGAAUUCCUGGUGUAGCGGUGGAAUGCGCAGAUAUCAGGAGGAACACCGAUGGCGAAGGCAGAUCUCUGGGCCGUAACUGACGCUGAGGAGCGAAAGGGUGGGGAGCAAACAGGCUUAGAUACCCUGGUAGUCCACCCCGUAAACGUUGGGAACUAGUUGUGGGGUCCUUUCCACGGAUUCCGUGACGCAGCUAACGCAUUAAGUUCCCCGCCUGGGGAGUACGGCCGCAAGGCUAAAACUCAAAGGAAUUGACGGGGACCCGCACAAGCGGCGGAGCAUGCGGAUUAAUUCGAUGCAACGCGAAGAACCUUACCAAGGCUUGACAUACACGAGAACGGGCCAGAAAUGGUCAACUCUUUGGACACUCGUGAACAGUUGGUGCAUGGUUGUCGUCAGCUCGUGUCGUGAGAUGUUGGGUUAAGUCCCGCAACGAGCGCAACCCUCGUUCUAUGUUGCCAGCACGUAAUGGUGGGAACUCAUGGGAUACUGCCGGGGUCAACUCGGAGGAAGGUGGGGAUGACGUCAAAUCAUCAUGCCCCUUAUGUCUUGGGCUUCACGCAUGCUACAAUGGCCGGUACAAUGGGCUGCAAUACCGUGAGGUGGAGCGAAUCCCAAAAAGCCGGUCCCAGUUCGGAUUGAGGUCUGCAACUCGACCUCAUGAAGUCGGAGUCGCUAGUAAUCGCAGAUCAGCAACGCUGCGGUGAAUACGUUCCCGGGUCUUGUACACACCGCCCGUCAAGUCAUGAAAGUCGGUAACACC
rnacentral:rRNA from 1 species